rnacentral:misc_RNA from 1 species
GCAAACUUGGUCAUUUAGAGGAAGUAAAAGUCGUAACAAGGUUUCCGUAGGUGAACCUGCGGAAGGAUCAUUAAUGAAGUAUGGGGAGUUGUAGCUGGCUCUAUUCGGGCAUGUGCACACUCCUUCACUUUACUUUACCACCUGUGCACCUUUUGUAGAUUAGUGAUCAACUUGUCAGUUGUCAAAGACUGAAUUGGUUGUUGCUAGUCUAUGUUUAUAUACACUAUGUAUGUCAAGCAUGUCAUUAAUAGGUCUUUGACCUUUAAUACAAUAUAACUUUCAACAACGGAUCUCUUGGCUCUCGCAUCGAUGAAGAACGCAGC